rnacentral:lncRNA from 1 species
CGAUAACUGCAGAGGAAGCUCCGCCUCCACAUUCACUGGAGGAGAAAGAAAAUGAGCUCAGAACCCUCGGGGUCCGGUUCUCGUGUCGACUCCUGGAAUGAUCCCGGCGGCUGGCGAAGCCAUCACCCGAGACGGUCGGCGAACGCGGGCGAAUCCUUUCUGUCUGAGCUGAAGAUUCAGAAAUGGUUCGAUUCCCUCCUUCAGCAGAGAGCUAUUAGCUUUCCUGCUGGCGGGAGGAAAACAUUCAGCAGGAAGUGCUCCCCCAGGACAGAAAGGCCACACAGGAGCUCCAGACUCAGGCGGCUGGAGGGGCGCAGGACGUGUUCCCGGUCAAAGACGAAAAUAAAAACAGGAAUGAAUAAUUCAGCGGGUCACGACGGACAGACGGCGGGAAGGUGCUGUUUGUCCCAUCAAUCAGCCCGCCGACCCUCCGUGACGACCGCUCGCUGCGCCCAGGAAGAGGCCCGUCGGCGCCGGCCGUUUGUCAUCCCGCCGUCCGGAUGGGAUUUACAGCUCCUUAAUCCUCCGACGGAGGAGAGCGGGAGAACGGAGCGGACAUUUUUCCCAUGUUUUUUGAGCAGCUCGCCGGUUCCUCUGGGAACGUUGGGAUCUUAAGGUCUGCAGGUCGGAGGGAAACACAACGAGAUCUAAAGACCGGCGCUGAUGAAAAUGACUAAAUGUUUCUGAAUAUUUCUUCAGUCGAAGAGAAGACGAGAAAAUGAGAAAAAGAUGAGAUUUGAGAUGCAGAAAACACGUUUCUGAAGCCUCCAGACGGAUAGAUCCAUGAACCUCUUUGUUUCUUUCACGGGAAUCAAAAUGGCUGCAGACUCUAAUGCUGAAGGUCUAAGACAGGGGUCCCCAAACUACUAAUUCGGCCCUUCUCCACAUUUGGCCCGGCCCCCCAAACUGUUUUACAUAGAUAGAUAGAUAGAUAGAUCACUGGUUCUUAACCCGGGUUCGAUGGGUUGAUCUCAGGGGUUCAGCAGUAGGGUUGGGCACCGAAGUUCGGUUCCGAGUAGGAACCGUUAUGAUUUAUGCGGUUCUGCCAAAACCGAAAGAAGCUGCUGCAAACCGUGUCAAAUUUCAUCUGUUUGUGGACAUGUCAAUCAUCUCUACUCAUGUCAGUAGUAUGAAAUCCCAGCCAGUCUCUUUUAUGUUCCUACAAUUGGGGGCGGGCUCAUAUAAAGUCGCUGACUAGGCGAAAACGCGCCACGCAACUCUUCCAUGAGUGUCUGCAUGUCACAGUUUGACAAGUGCUGCAUCACAUUUGUCAAUCAGGAACUCACGGGCUCGUGAUGUUUUCACAGACCCGAUCAUCAGACAGAAUUUUGAUCCUAUGCGAGUGUUUUUGAUUGUUUGUUCAUGUGUACAUGAGUUCACACCAUCUCCCGGUAAGGAAGGUAUUAAUGUUCUGGAGACCUGCAGUCAA